GGCUGUUUUAGACGUGUGCAUCCAAUGACCACAGUGAAAAUGAAUCCAGUGGUGAGUACGUCUCAUUUCCACUUUAAAAUGAUAUCUAUAUUGGAAUGUGGCGUGUCAGGAAUGGCUGCUUGUGUUUGUACAGAUGUGUCAGGGUGUGGAAACGGUGAAAGUGGGCGUGGUUCUUACUACACCUACAGGUGAAGCCCAGACAAAAUGUGUGUGUGAGGCUGUGGACGGUCAGUGUGCAGUCAUUUGUGAGGGAGGAUACAGACUGGACUACACAGCAGGAAAGGAUGAGGUGACACUUUAUAACUCACUCAAAGUAGGUAACACAUAUUCACCUGAUCACCUUUUUUAAUUUAUUAUUUAUUAUUUUUUAUCAGGGUAUAAAGUCUUUCUCAUUCGACUAUGCUGCGGUCGUGGAUGACAUUGAGGUACACAAUAGCUUUUAAUCCCAAAGUUUAACUUCUUUACAUAAUGUAUACAUCAUUUCUGCAGAUUCUCUACCAGAAACUCCUCCAGCCGCUCACUGAGUUCAUUUCUACUGGCUACAAUGUGGCAUUACUUCUAUGUGGAGCCUCUUCAGAGCCAAUCUCAUCUCUGACUGACCACAGUCUCAUCAGACAGCUUUUAAGGAGUCUGUUCUCCUGUGUGAAGUCCCAAGAAAAAGAGGAGUUAUUCACCUCGGUUUCAUGUCUUCAGUUUCAUCCUGAUGACAUUGAGGUGGAUGUCCUGAGCCUGAACAAACAGCCUCUACAGCUGGUGAAACACCCAGCUCUAGGCUGGUGGGUCUGAAACAGUCUUGCAGUGAACCCUGAUGUGAAACAGGACAUUUGUCUGUUUUUAUUUUUUUGUUUUGUUUUUGCAGUAUUGUGGCUGGGUUGUGUGAGGUGUCAGUGUGUUCAGCUGAGGAAGCUUAUACUGUGUAUGAAACAUGUUGGAAGACCAUGAAGAACCCUGCAGGCUGUAUUUACAGAUGGAACUCUCUCUUCUCUAUAAACGUGGAGCGGAAACUCAAUCCUCCUGAGCCGGAGUCGGUUGUGUGUCGCAGCACUCUGCAGCUGUUUAACCUGGCAGGAGGAGCCAGCAGGGCUGACCUCACAGGCGUUAACCCACUGGUGAAACUUCUUGAUCAAAAACCAAAACCUGCAGGCACUUCCUGCCUUAACCUGCAUCAGUCUCUCCUUAAAGAGGCGCUAACAGGAAAUAGCAAGACUGUCCUCAUCUAUUGCAUUGACCCACAAGAUGAUGAGACGCUAUGUGCAUUAGAGCUGACCCAAAGGGUGAGAGCUUUGACGACCAAAGCCUCUGUUGGACGUUGGAGUCCUGGAGUGGCCGAGCGAGAGAUCCGCGACAGGAUCAGAGACUUAAGGAGCGAAAUGAUGUCACAGGGUGGAGAUGAGAACUUUGUUUACAGACUCAGUGAACUGACUCAAUACCUGCAGAUUGUGAAAAAUCACUCAUGGGAGAAGAGGAGGGAGGAGUCUGAGAAGAUCAAAGACAAAAUGAAGAACUUGACAUCCGUAAAUGGAAACCAGCAGUUUUCUGAAGGUCCUCACAAAGACCAAAGUGAGACAGAUACAAUAAGAUAUCUACAGGAUCAGCUCAGACAGGAAAUGGAAGAGCACAUUAAAGAAGGCAAAGGCAAUGUGGAAAAAGUCCGAGCAGGAUCAGAAAAUCCAGCAGCUGAGGGAGACUCUGAGGGUGGAGACGCUGAAGAAUGGGGCGUCCACGGGGAUGUCUCCAGCCUCUCAACAGCCACAGCUGGAUUACAACCAAGCACAGGAGCGAAGAAGGCAACUGAAGGAGGAUCAUGGGAGAUUACUGCAGGAGGAGGUGGAGAAGAUGGAGAAAGACUUGGCACGAGAGCAGCUCCCAAUGGAGGGUGUUCACAGGGAGCUGCUGCUGCUCAGCAGGGAAAGGCAGGCUCUGGUUCUGCAGAUUGAAGCCCUGCAUGAUGAGGCUCAGCUGGCUGAGAGAGACCUGCAGGAUCAGCAGCUCAGACACCAAGCAGAGCUGCACAGUCUGAGGGAGGAGAGCCUGCAGGUGGGUGAUGAAGGUCAUGGAAACCACAAAUGAAGGUCAAAUCACUGCUACCACAGGAUAAGAUCAGCUAAAACAGGGGUGUCAAACUCAUUUUAGU
rnacentral:lncRNA from 1 species